UACGGAGGGUCCAAGCGUUAUCCGGAAUCAUUGGGUUUAAAGGGUCCGUAGGCGGUUUUGUAAGUCAGUGGUGAAAGCCCAUCGCUCAACGGUGGAACGGCCAUUGAUACUGCAAGACUUGAAUUAUUGGGAAGCAACUAGAAUAUGUAGUAUAGCGGUGAAAUGCUUAGAGAUUACAUGGAAUACCAAUUGCGAAGGCAGGUUGCUACCAAUACAUUGACGCUGAUGGACGAAAGCGUGGGGAGCGAACAGG
rnacentral:rRNA from 1 species